UACCAGCACCCCGAGUGGUCGGGACGAUUAUUGGGCCUAAAGCAUCCGUAGCUUGUCCUGCAAGUCUUCCGUUAAAUCCACCUGCUCAACAGAUGGGCCGCGGGGGAUACUACAGGGCUAGGAGGCGGGAGAGGCAAACGGUACUCAGUGGGUAGGGGUAAAAUCCACUGAUCCACUGAAGACCACCAGUGGCGAAGGCGGUUUGCCAGAACGCGCUCGACGGUGAGGGAUGAAAGCUGGGGGAGCAAACCGG
rnacentral:rRNA from 1 species